GUACCGCUGUGACUAGCAUAUCAAUAAGCGGAGGAAAAGAAACUAACAAGGAUUCCCCUAGUAACGGCGAGUGAAGCGGGAAGAGCUCAAAUUUGAAAUCUUAAAGGGUUUCCCUUUACGAAUUGUAGUUUAAAGAAGUGUUUUCUGUUGAGGUUCUGGUAAAAGUUCUUUGGAAUAGGACAUCAUAGAGGGUGAGAAUCCCGUAUUUGACCUUUACUUUCAACUUUGUGAUACACUUUCAAAGAGUCGGAUUGUUUGGGAAUGCAGUCCAAAAUGGGUGGUAAAUUUCAUCUAAAGCUAAAUAUUGGCGAGAGACCGAUAGCGAACAAGUACCGUGAGGGAAAGAUGAAAAGAACUUUGAAAAGAGAGUUAAACAGUACGUGAAAUUGUCAAAAGGGAAGCGUUUGACACCAGUGUUGUUUUUCUGAAAAUCAAUUAAAGAACUGUUUAUGCUAAGCUGUUUAGACUUUAUCAGCUAUCUGUUUAGUUUUGAGCUUUUCUUUAAUGCACUUUUCAGUUAACAAGUCAACAUCAAUUUCUUUUGCUGUAAAAAAGCUUGAGGAAGGUGGCUUGAGAUUCGUCUUAAGUGUUUAUAGCCUCUUGCCUAUGCAGUCGGAGAGAUUGAGGUCUGCAGCGUAGAUCCUUCGGGGCUAAAUGCAUUUGUGCUAAGUUAUAGCAUUUUAUAGACAACUUGUUGACUAUGAUUUGUCUUGUAGCUUACUCGCUUAUGUUAUUUUACCUACGCUUAGGAUGUUGAAUCUGUGCGAGACUAC
rnacentral:rRNA from 1 species